GGCCCCAGCUCCUGGAGGCCUCCGAUGAUGGGCUCAGCUGGGGCCCAGGCGAGGGAGGGUGAGGUAGAGGAGGGCAGCCUAGUGGGCUGUGCCUGUCACCCCAGCCCCUCCUGUUUCCUUUCUGUUCCCCCAUCAGUGGGACCACAGGAAGGACCAGACAUUAGAAAUGGAGCAUAAAUAUGUCUGCAGUCCAGCCAGGUGCAUCUAGGGGCCCACCUGUCUCUUCCAUCCCCUCCCAGCCCACAGGUGGGCUGAGCCUAAGCCCAAGUAGGUAGGAGAGAGGACUCUGGACAGGAGGAAGUGUGCUUCGGGGCUUCUGGAGUGGAACCCAAGGCCUGGCCCCAGUGGAAUGAUGGAGAACUUCCCUGCAAACUAUUGAGGUGGGGAGAUCCAAAGCCUGGAGUAACUGGUCCCCAGGAACAAGCUCUGUAGAGCAGGGAGCCGGCACAGAGGGCCUCAAGAGGUCCACCAUGAAAGGAGUUGUCCAGGAACUAUCGCUUUGCUUUGCUUUGCUUUGCCUGGGGGAGACUGGCCACUCUGGCGACAUCUGGUUGAAUCUUCGGCUGGCCCACAUCUCCAGUGGGUCUGUAGCUUUAUCUUUCAUGACCUGUCACUGGAGCCACUCAGCCUGGAGUCCUGCAUUUUGUGUGCAGGGAGGGGCUAGACCAGCACCACCCAACGGAAACAGAAUAGGGGCCAUGGAGCACGCAGAAAUUCUGGGACAAGGGGUCGAAACUACGCAACAGCAGUGACCUGAGCCACAGCAGUGAUGAUGCCGGACCCUUAACCCACCAGGACACCAGGCAACGCUAAGAAAUUGUUGAGACCUUUUACGUCCUUUUUUCAAACGAGGUCUUGGAAAUUCUACAUGUAUUUUACCCUCGUAGCACCUUUCAGCCCUGACCAGCCAUGUUUCAGGGGCUCCACAGCCCCCGUGGCUUGUGGUUACUGUUUUGAACAGGUUUCGAAGACUCUGGCCCAACCUCCUCUUCAAGCUCUUCCAGUCCUUGCUGAGGAAGGGACUCCAGAAGUGGAGGAGGAGUCCAGCAAGAAAAUUACGAAGCUGUUAAGAAGAUGUUUAUGAAAGUGACAUCGCAUCACAGGAGAAGAUAGAUUUGUGCAUGACCCGUGAUGGCAACUGGGUUUAAUGAAACCCAGCACAGGCACAGAGGAAAAGCGUGAGAGGAAAUACGAGUAAUAGGUCAUGAUUGUGUCAGGUGUUGUGUGAGUACGCAUGGUUUUCUAGGUGUUUAAUAACGGACAGAGUUCCCCGUCGUGGCUCAGCAGAAAGGAAUCUGACUACCAUCCAUGAA